UACGAAGGGUGCAAACGUUGCUCGGAAUCAUUGGGCGUAAAGCGCACGUAGGCGGCCUGAUAAGUCGGAUGUGAAAUCCCUCGGCUCAACUGAGGACGUGCAUUCGAAACUGCCAGGCUCGAGUAUGGAAGAGGGUCGCGGAAUUCCCGGUGUAGAGGUGAAAUUCGUAGAUAUUGGGAAGAACACCGGUGGCGAAGGCGGCGACCUGGUCCGUGACUGACGCUGAGGCGCGAAAGCGUGGGGAGCAAACAGG
rnacentral:rRNA from 1 species